UGUGCCAGCAGCCGCGGUAAUACGUAGGGCGCAAGCGUUGUCCGGAAUUAUUGGGCGUAAAGAGCUCGUAGGCGGCUUGUCGCGUCGGUUGUGAAAGCCCGGGGCUUAACCCCGGGUCUGCAGUCGAUACGGGCAGGCUAGAGUUCGGUAGGGGAGAUCGGAAUUCCUGGUGUAGCGGUGAAAUGCGCAGAUAUCAGGAGGAACACCGGUGGCGAAGGCGGAUCUCUGGGCCGAUACUGACGCUGAGGAGCGAAAGCGUGGGGAGCGAACAGGAUUA
rnacentral:rRNA from 1 species